rnacentral:rRNA from 1 species
GUCUAUGGCCAUACUACCUUGAAUGUGCCCAAUCUCAUCUGAUCUUGGAAGCUAAGCAGAGUUGGGCCCGGUUAGUACUUGGAUGGGAGAAGGCUAUAGCAAAUGUGACAGCCUGGAAU